rnacentral:tRNA from 1 species
GGGGAUAUAGCUUAGUUGGUAGAGUGCUUGCCUCACAUGCACAGAGGUCCUGUGUUCAACCCCUAGCAUCCCCC